rnacentral:lncRNA from 1 species
GAAAUGUGGUAGAUAAACUGGGGGUAGAUCUGUCAGAAGUAUUGUGAUUAUGGAACCACAUUAAUGUUACCCUCAUAUUUUCUGAUUUUAAAGUUGGGAUAUUUUCAGUGAUUUAGUUACUAUUGGUUAGCCUCACUGCAGGGCUAAGAAGUUUUCCCUUGUCACUAUGGGGUUAAAGUUGCUCUAUCACUAUGGGGUUAACAAGGUUGUCCCAUCACUAUGGGGUUAAGAAGUUCAUAGCUUCAUGAUGUGGUUUCCAGUUUGAUCUCAGCCCAUCAGUUUGGGAAAGUGCUUUCAAUCAUAUUCUCUCAUUGACUAAAGUCUUGUGAGUAGACAGAAACUGUGUGGAAGCUUUGGCAUGGCUGUGUGAUUAGGAAGUUUGUUUCCCAACUACAUGGUUUUGGGUUCGAUCCCACAGUGUAGCACCUUGGCUAAGUGUCUUAUUGUAUAGCUCUGGGCUGACCAAAACCUUGUGAGUGAAUUUGGUAGAUGGAAACUGAAAGUAGCCCAUCACAUAUAUAUACAUGUGUGUGUGUAUACAUGCAUGUGUUCUUCCUUGUCUUCACAUCAUUGAAUAGUUAUAAAUGGGUAUCACCAUCACACCAGUGGAAAUCCCCCAUUUCCAGUCUGGUCAUGGAGAAAUGUUACAGGCAGGUGUUAGUGGGAGGAAGAGCAUUCAACCAUAGAAAAUCUGCCUCAACAAAUUCCAUCUGACCCAUGCAGGCAUGAAAAAGUGGAUGUUAAAAUGAUGAUGAUAGACUUAAUCCUCUGUUUGGUUGAACCCUUGCACCUGACCCUAGGUGGAAUAUAGCAGUGACUAUUCUGUUGUAUGCAUUGAAACCAGGUCUCCACCUGAGGAUAACUUCUUCCUAGCUGUCUCAGAGGACCUGAAAAGGACCAUAGGAACUGUCCUUUGUCUUCUGGCUGAUCAAUAAAAAAAAGACAAAUGUAAACAGUCUACUUUUAAUUAAUUUUAACGAAUUAAUAUUUCAUUGGUGCCUCCCCUUUUUGACCAGAAUUAAUUAAUUAAUAAGCUAUUGAUUAUUUCUCUUCAUCACUAGAAUAAUUCGAAUAGAUUAAAAUUUCUUAGUUUAUUACACUAUGGAUGUUAGAACCGAUCUUACUGUUUAGCUUUCAUGCAGAGUAUGUCUCUAGGUAUGUUUUAUAGUUUAACCAAAAGAAGCAGGGCAGUGGCCUGAUCAUGACCUUCGAAGAUUAUCCUAGUUUGGGGACACUGAUGUGGUUGAUGUUCUGCUUGAAUUUCUUUUGGUCUGUGUCUGUAGUUGAGAGAGAGGGAGAGAGAGAGAGAGAAUUUCAGAUGGUUGCUGCAGCUCUGGAGAGUAACAAAUGAUUGAGCAAAGAGGUUAUUACAGUAUCUGGGGAAAAGGUAUAUAUCUGGAAGAUAUGAUGUGUGAUGGAAGAGAUGGUGAUGUUGGGUGGAAUUGGUGUGUUUCAAAGGAACAUAAGCCAUUGUAGUAGCAGUGGUAGAUGUAGAGAGAGGGUACAGAGUGUUUGACAGCUUGUGUGUCAGCAGCUAAAUCACUGCUAAUCAGAUUGGUGGUCAUUGAUAGAGAAGUGGGCUGAGAGGUUAGUGUGUGAAGCAGCAGUACUCUCCCAGAUGUAUCAACAACAUGCUAAUGUUUGUCUUAGUUGAGCUGAUUAGAGCUGAGGUAUUUUAUGGCCACCAGCAGGAAGCCAGGUCUGUAGAAAUCAGUUUAGUAAUGUUAAGAUGUAUGAUGUUUCAAUGUGAGAUCAAAACAUUAUUUGUAGUGACUCCGAGGGGUUUUUGAUAUGUGCUGUCCAUGUAUUAGUGGAUAGACAGCAAAACUGUCUCCUUGAUCUGUUGAAGUCCACUUCAGGACUAUGUGGUUUUUUGGUUCAAUACAGCUGUGCAGCACCUUGUGUAAGUAUCUCCUAGCUUAGUAUGAAGCUGACUUAGAGACUUGUGAAUGGAAUUAUGUAACCAGGAAGGGUGUAGAAGCCCGUUUUAGGAGCUGCUCUUAUUUUCAGUUGAUAGACUUAAACUGUUAGUUGGUUUAACAAUGUCACAUGGCUGGGUAACCUUGUACUUCCACUACAGCAAGACACCUGUAUCUGUCUCACUAUAACAUUUUCAUCAUCACCUCCUCCCCUCUUAAAAGUUUUUGUUUUGCAUGUGCUUGGUUACACAGUCAGUGCACCCAGUCCACACUGUAAAGUGGUUGGUGUUCAGAAGGGCAUCCAGCUGUACAAACCUUGCCAAAAUUGUCAUGUAAAAAGCACAAAGUCCACUCUGUUGAGUGGUUGGUGUUACGAAAGUAUCCAGCUGUAAAAAUCCUGCUAAAACAGUCACAGAAGUCUGGUACAGGCUUUGGCCUGGUUGGCUCUUGUGGUACUGUUCCACCCAUGCUAGCAUGGAACAUGGACGUUAAAUGAUGAUGUAAUAGUCAUUGCUGUAAUGCAAUGACAAGCUUCCAAGUUUGGUGCCACUGCACAGCUUCUUGACCAAAUGCUUUCUGCUAUACACUUGGAUCAUCUCAUUCUUUAUCAGUGAAAUUAGAUUGGUAGAAACUGUGUUGAAAUGCAUUGAAUGGAUUAUACUAAUCCCUGGUGGUAGACUUAAUCCACUCUUCAGUUUAGCGGCACCAUUAGGCCCUAAAAUGCUUUUACAGAAAGUCACAUUGUGGCAAGUAUUUGCUUCAAGACUCUGUCUAAAGGUAUCUGGGGAAAAUGGUAUAAAGUCAGAUAUACCUGCUAUGAAGACUUGGUAGAUCAUACUUGUGAAAGUACCAUCUCAAUGCAUCUGACGUUAGGUUUCUGUGUGUGUGUGUGUGUGUGUGUGUGUACGUACGUACGUACACAAGUGGGUUAAAAAUUCACUACAGGUUUUCUUCAGGUGAAUUAAAAAUUUGGUUUAGAGGGGAAAAAAUCCCAAGACAUGUAAUAUUCAUUGACACUCUCAUUUUAGCAUAAAUGGAGAGAGAGCAAAGGUACAAAGGGUUAGCCAGAUUUAACAGGCUAAGAUUUCAUAAACCUCUGGGUCAUAAAACAAUCAACAGACAAUGUCACAUUAAAUUAUUCCUUUAAAUAGUGGCCAAAAAUACAAGAUAAGAGGAACACUUGCUCUCUGGUUUUCCCCUUAUCUUUUAUCUCCGGCCAUCUCUUUCUCACUCAAACUUACACACACACACCCUGGGGGUCAACUUUGCCUUUCAUCCAUUUGAGGUUGACAAAAUAAAGUACCAGUGAAGUACUAGAGUCUGUGUAACCAUCUUGUGUACCCCCCCAUUGCCUUAAAAUUGCUGGCCAUACACCCUGCCACAGGCUAGAGCCCUCCUCAGAGUAAUGUUAUCUUGGUCACUUAUAUGUAAUGGAAAAUGAGAAACUGGCCUUGUGAAUCGUUGGGCUCAAGGAUAUAUAAAAUAGGGAUUUACUCAGUGUGUGCAUAUGCAGGAAUAACACACUUGAUAACUACCGGGGAUCAAACCAAUUGAAGUGUAGUGUUAAUAUGAAUAUUGUAAAUAAGGAAGCAAGCUGGUAGAAUUGUUAGCACACUGGGCAAAAUGCAGAGUGGCAUUUUAUCUGUCUUUACUUUCCGAGUUCAAAUUCUGCUGAGGUUGACUUUGCCUUUCAUCCUUUUGGGGUCAGUAAAAUAAGUAGCAGUCGCUUAUGGGAGUUGAUGUAAUCGACUAGUCUCCUCCCACAAACUUGCUGGCCUUGUGCCAAAAUUUGAAACCAAUAUAAAUAUUCUUUUCUACUCUAGGCACAAAGCCCAAAAUUUUUGGGGAAGGGGUCAGUUGAUUAGAUCGACCCAGAAUAAAACUGGUACUUAAUUUAUUGAACCCAAAAGGAUGAAAGGCAAAGUCGACCAUGGAGGAAUUUGAACUCAGAACGUAAAGACAGACGAAAUACCACUAAGCAUUUCACCUGGCGUGCUAACGUUUCUGCCAGCUGACCACCUUAAUACGUUAUAUUCUUUUAUGCUCUAGGCACAAGGUCCAAAAUUUUGUGGGAGGGGGGCCAGUCAAUUAGAUCGAUCCCAGUACGCACCCAGUACCUAAUUUAUUGACCCCAAAGGGAUGAAAGUCAAAGUCGACCUUGGCAGAAUUUGAACUCAGAACGUAAAGACAGAUGAAAUAACGCUAAGCAUUUUGCUUAGCAUGUGAACGUUUCUGCCAGCUUGCUGCCUUGAAACCAAUGUAAAUAUUGUGAAUAUGUUGGAGAUGAAGUCUGAAAAUCUAAAUCCAGUUAACUGUUGUUUUAUUUCAUUCAUAUUAUAAUUUUGUUUAAAUUUUGAUUAUAUAUUUUAUGUGUGUAGUUGGAUUUAAAUAAUUUCACUAUACAUUCUGAUUACAUCUUAAAUUUUUAUUUGUUCCAGGUUUAAGAAGUUCCAAUGGAUUGUACAAAUCACUUCCAAAGCGGCCUUCAAGAAAACGUAAACUGUUGUCUCCGGCACUUCUUUCACAGAAAUUGCAGAGAUUAUGUCAUCGAGCCAGAAGGAACUAAUAGAACCCAAUACAAUUAAGUAAAAAGAAGAAAAAAAAAAGAAGAAAAAAAGAGACUCUCAUAAAUAUCUGAUCCACUUUCCACCUCAUCCAAAACCACUCACAACUGCUCUCCUCACAUGUUCACCUCUUCCUCCUCCUCCUCUAUUGGCUACCUAUAAUCCGUACAUCCCGUGGAUACACUUCAACACAAACGUCUCUACACACUACAGGCUUACAUCUGUCCAUCUGUCUAUACACUUUGUGAAAGUGUCUGUCUGUCUGUCUGUACGUAUAAAUUGCAUCCUGAAUCGGAGUGGAAGAAGUCAAACAAGUCUGGCAGUGGUAGUGGUGGUUUUAUAGCAGCAGCAGCAGCAGCAGCAGCAGUAGUAGUAGUAGUAAUAAUAGUAGUUGAUAUUGCACUUAAAAGCUGAGCAUUUGAUUGAGAAGGAGGAGGACAGGAGAGGUACUUGUAAAAUAC